UACGGAGGGUGCGAGCGUUAAUCGGAAUUACUGGGCGUAAAGCGUGCGCAGGCGGCUUUGCAAGACAGAUGUGAAAUCCCCGGGCUCAACCUGGGAACUGCAUUUGUGACUGCAUGGCUAGAGUGCGGCAGAGGGGGAUGGAAUUCCGCGUGUAGCAGUGAAAUGCGUAGAUAUGCGGAGGAACACCGAUGGCGAAGGCAAUCCCCUGGGCCUGCACUGACGCUCAUGCACGAAAGCGUGGGGAGCAAACAGG
rnacentral:rRNA from 1 species